UACGGAGGGUGCGAGCGUUGUCCGGAAUCACUGGGCGUAAAGGGCGCGUAGGCGGCCUGAUAAGUAGGGGGUGAAAUCCUGCGGCUUAACCGCAGGGCUGCCUUCUAAACUGUCAGGCUUGAGCACAGUAGAGGCAGGUGGAAUUCCUGGUGUAGCGGUGAAAUGCGUAGAUAUUCGGAAGAACACCAGUGGCGAAGGCGGCUCACUGGCCCGGUACUGACGCUGAGAUACGAAAGCGUGGGGAGCAAACAGG
rnacentral:rRNA from 1 species